rnacentral:rRNA from 1 species
UACGUAGGGGGCGAGCGUUGUCCGGAGUUACUGGGCGUAAAGCGCACGCAGGCGGUCUGUUAAGUUUGGAGUGACAGUUGGUGGCUUAACUGCCAAAGUGCUUCGAAAACUGACAGACUUGAGGGCUUCAGAGGGACACGGAAUUCCGGGUGGAGUGGUGAAAUGCGUAGAGAUCCGGAGGAACACCAAAGGCGAAGGCAGUGUCCUGGGGAGCACCUGACGCUCAGGUGCGAAAGCCAGGGGAGCGAACGGG